UUAAAGUUUUAUUCUAGCUUGGAAGUUUAAUAUAUUUUUUUUAUACAUGUAAAUUUAAGUGUGGAUUUAAAUUAAUUUAAAUAGUUAAUUUAAUUAUUUUCUAUAAUCUCAGUGUUUAAUAUUAAAAAUUUAAGAAAUUAAGAUUUAGAGAUAAAUAAUAGUUUUGACUAAACUUGUGCCAGCAGUUGCGGUUACACAAGUAAAGCAAUUAAAUUUUAUUGGUAGAUAGUUAAUAAGAUUUAUAUAUAAAAAAAAAUUAAAUUUAUAAGGUGAAAUUUAAAAUUUAACGAUAAUUUAUAUUUAAGAUUAUGAAACUGUGAAAUUUUUAUUUAAACUAGGAUUAGAUACCCUAUUAUUUUAAAUGUAAAUUUAAACACCUGAUUAGUAGUAGUUAAGUUCUUGAAAAUUAAAGAUUUUGGCGGUAUUUUAGUCUUUUCAGAGGAACCUGUCCUGUAAUUGAUAAUCCACGAUUAAUUGUACUUAUUUUUUUAAUUUGUAUAUCGUCGUAGUUGAGUGUUUUAAAAGAAUAAUAAUGCUCAAGAUUUUUAAAAGAAAAAGAAAUCAGAUCAAGAUGCAGUUUAUAGAUAAGUAGAGAUGGGUUACAAUAAAUUUAUUUAGAAUGGUUUAAAAAAUGAAUAUUUUUUAAUAAAGUGGAUUUGAAAGUAAUUUUAUUAAUAUUAAUAAGAUGAUUAAGCUCUAAAAUAUGCACAUAUCGCCCGUCGUUUUCAUUUAAAGUGAAAUAAGUCGUAACAAAGUAGAUGUACUGGAAAGUGUAUCUAGAAAGGC
rnacentral:ncRNA from 1 species